GGAGAGGUGUCCGAGCUGGCCGAAGGAGCACGACUGGAAAUCGUGUGCACCCUAAUCCGGUGCCCCGGGUUCGAAUCCCGGCCUCUCCG
rnacentral:tRNA from 1 species